CCCCGGUAAACGGCGGCCGUAACUAUAACGGUCCUAAGGUAGCGAAAUUCCUUGUCGGGUAAGUUCCGACCUGCACGAAUGGCGUAAUGAUGGCCAGGCUGUCUCCACCCGAGACUCAGUGAAAUUGAACUCGCUGUGAAGAUGCAGUGUACCCGCGGCAAGACGGAAAGACCCCGUGAACCUUUACUAUAGCUUGACACUGAACACUGGUCCUUGAUGUGUAGGAUAGGUGGGAGGCUUUGAAGUGUGGACGCCAGUCUGCAUGGAGCCAUCCUUGAAAUACCACCCUUUAAUGGCUGGUGUUCUAACGUGGGCCCGUGAUCCGGGUUGCGGACAGUGUCUGGUGGGUAGUUUGACUGGGGCGGUCUCCUCCUAAAGAGUAACGGAGGAGCACGAAGGUCAGCUAAUCCUGGUCGGACAUCAGGAGGUUAGUGCAAUGGCAUAAGCUGGCUUGACUGCGAGCGUGACGGCGCGAGCAGGUGCGAAAGCAGGUCAUAGUGAUCCGGUGGUUCUGAAUGGAAGGGCCAUCGCUCAACGGAUAAAAGGUACUCCGGGGAUAACAGGCUGAUACCGCCCAAGAGUUCAUAUCGACGGCGGUGUUUGGCACCUCGAUGUCGGCUCAUCACAUCCUGGGGCUGAAGUAGGUCCCAAGGGUAUGGCUGUUCGCCAUUUAAAGUGGUACGCGAGCUGGGUUUAGAACGUCGUGAGACAGUUCGGUCCCUAUCUGCCGUGGGCGCUGGAGAAUUGAGGGGGGCUGCUCCUAGUACGAGAGGACCGGAGUGGACGCAUCACUGGUGUUCGGGUUGUCAUGCCAAUGGCAUUGCCCGGUAGCUAAAUGCGGAAGAGAUAAGUGCUGAAAGCAUCUAAGCACGAAACUUGCCCCGAGAUGAGUUCUCCCUGACCCUUUAAGGGUCCUGAAGGAACGUUGAAGACGACGACGUUGAUAGGCCGGGU
rnacentral:rRNA from 1 species